CUUAAAGGAAUUGACGGGGCCGCACAAGCGGUGAGCAUGUGGUUAAUUCGACGCAACGCGAAGAACCUUACCAGGGCUUGACAUCCCCUGACCGCGUAUGAAAGUACGUUUUCACCCUCGGGUGACAGGGAGACAGGUGGUGCAUGGUUGUCGUCAGCUCGUGUCGUGAGAUGUUGGGUUAAGUCCCGCAACGAGCGCAACCCUCGACCUUAGUUGCCAUCAUUCAGUUGGGCACUCUAGCGAGACUGCCGGUAAUAAACCGGAGGAAGGUGGGAUGACGUCAAAUCAUCAUGCCCCUUAUGACCUGGGCUACACACGUGCUACAAUGGUUGGUACAACGAGUUGCGAGUCGGUGACGGCGAGCUAAUCUCUUAAAGCCAAUCUCAGUUCGGAUUGCAGGCUGCAACUCGCCUACAUGAAGUCGGAAUCGCUAGUAAUCGCGGAUCAGCACGCCCGCGUCGAUACGUUCCGGCCUU
rnacentral:rRNA from 1 species